rnacentral:misc_RNA from 1 species
AGUUGAAAACAUGCAUCUUCAUUGGAAGUAUAGGGAACUUGUGAAGAUAAUAUGUAAAGAAAAAAGUUUUGAAGCUGUUCAUGAAGUGGCACAGAUCUUAGAGGCUGAAAGUGGUGGAAUAUUGGUUGCAGUUGAACGAGUCAGCAAGGGUUAUGCUAUCGUUGUAUAUCGCGGAAAGAAUUACCGGCNNNNNNNNNNNNNACUCUCCUUAAUAAGAGAGAAGCAAUGAAGUGCUCUUUAGAGGCACAGCGUUGCGAGUCCUUGAAACUUCAUGUUUUGAAGCUUACCAGAAACAUAAAUGACUUGAAACUUAAGUUGGCUAAAGACAAGGAGGCACACAAAAUGCAGUCAUUUGAUGAAGGUAAAGAAGAUAUGCACAGGAUGGAGUCAGCUAUGUAUGUGAACUCAGAUUCAGUCGUUCCUUCUCACUUUAAAGAGAAUUUAGAGACUGCAGAUAAACUUGAAGCUAAUGCUAGUGAGAUUAGUAAAAACGAACCUCAGCCUUCAUCUGAAUCUGUGAGCGAGGACACCCAUGAGAGUCUAUUAGCUACUAUAAAUGAUGGAGCUAUUAACUCAACUUCUUCCUCUAAUAAUAUUUUGUCAGAGGAAAGGGGCUUUUUUCCCCUUGUCAAUGCUGAGCAUUAUGUGCCUGAAAAUGAGGUAAUGGGAUCAACAGAAGAAUCAACUACAAGUGAAUUGGAAGAAUCAGUUUCAAUUUCUAUGGAGAAGGGGGGGGACAUGCCUUCCAAGGGUGUUCGUCUUUCUAAUAGAGAUAGGCUUAUGCUACGAAAGCAAGCACUCAAAAUGAAGAAGCGCCCAGUGCUUGCAGUAGGGAGGAGCAACAUUGUCACUGGUGUUGCAAAAGCAAUAAAAACUCACUUUAAAAAGUAUCCUCUUGCUAUAGUUAAUGUUAAAGGCAGAGCCAAAGGUACUUCAGUCCAAGAACUGGUUUUUCAGCUGGAGCACGCAACAGGUGGAGUUUUAGUCUCCCAGGAGCCUAGCAAAGUCAUACUCUACCGGGGAUGGGGAGCAUUUGAUGAACCAGGUCACAAGGGUUUUAAGAAACCCCGAAAUGCGGGGAUUACAUCAGUGCGUAGAGAAGGCCGGUCUCAGCGUACUGUGUCUCCGGAACUAGUGGCGGCAAUCAGACUUGAAUGUGGACUGCAGUGCGACCAA